rnacentral:misc_RNA from 1 species
GUGAAUCAUCAAAUUUUUGAACGCAAAUUGCACUCUCUUCGGAGAGUAUGCCUGUCUGCGGGUCAGCCUCAAAAAAAUCGUCAUCGUUGCUGUUUCGCGGUCGCGUUCGACGGACAUUGGGUUAUCUUAAAUCUGUGGUUUAAGCGUCUUAGAAUUUUCUUUACGAUUCCAUGAACGUUUCCAAGAUUUCUUU